CUCUCAAGCAUAUGAAUGCUGUAGACAGUUGAAUAGGAACCAUACGAAUAGGUUUACUCUCCUAGCAGUCAAACUGGAACAGCAUACAAUAAAUCCACCCCCAAUAAUGAGACGACACUUCACUUUGAGGGUUAAGCAGGAACUCCCUGUACUGUCACAUACAGUCUCUUUUAUUCCCAAUCCACAAACAUAGUACAGCCCACAGGGCGUUACAAAACA